rnacentral:rRNA from 1 species
UACGUAGGGGGCUAGCGUUGUCCGGAAUCAUUGGGCGUAAAGAGCGUGUAGGCUGCUCGGUAAGUCCGCUGUAAAAGUCAAAGGCUCAACCUUUGAAUGUCAGUGGAUACUGCCGGGCUAGAGUCCGGAAGAGGCGAGUGGAACUCCUGGUGUAGCGGUGGAAUGCGCAGAUAUCGAGAGGAACACCUGCGGCGAAGGCGGGUUGCUGGGCUGACACUGACGCUGAGGCGCGAAAGCCAGGGGAGCGAACGGG